UACAGAGGGUGCAAGCGUUGUUCGGAAUUAUUGGGCGUAAAGCGCGUGUAGGCGGCUUUGCAAGUCGGGUGUGAAAGCCCUCGGCUCAACCGAGGAAGUGCGCCCGAAACUGCAGAGCUUGAGUACCGGAGAGGAUGGCGGAAUUCCCCAAGUAGAGGUGAAAUUCGUAGAUAUGGGGAGGAACACCGGUGGCGAAGGCGGCCAUCUGGACGGAUACUGACGCUGAGACGCGAAGCGUGGGGAGCAAACAGG
rnacentral:rRNA from 1 species